CCAGUGUUCUCACCCACCCCACACUACAAAGGAUCAGGGCAAAUGGUUGACCGCAGGAACACCAGCCUUCUGCAGAUUGGAGAAGGUACUGACCAAUAAGAGGGUUCUGAAGGACGUGGAGAAGCUGAGCCCUCACUACCCGACCUCAUCGCUCGACGCUUUUCAAAGAGUCGUUUUGCGCCCAAGAAUGUUGUCUUUCCUUUCCUUGGAAUGCUGUGCAGGCUAUACCUGGCGGCCCUGCACUUCAGUGAGAAUGCAGGACGUCCACAGGCAGCAGCAUCAGCCGGAGAGCUGACGGGAGAGUGCACAGCGAGGCCAGAGAGAGCACAGUCAACCAAUUACGUGGAUGAAGUGUUGGACCUCGUCUUUUACAAGGUUUUCCCGGACCCUGGCCCAUAUGCAGAUGAGGUGCUGAAGAUCCCGAUCCCAAAGGAUCUGUCUGCGCUGACGUAACGGGCAGCUACCUGUCCAGUGUUCGCUCGAGGACAGGUCCGAACCCCACGGUGAACACAUUGAGCUCCAGGGAAGUCUGUCCGUACAGCUAGCCCCACGCAGCCGGGCAGUACCACGCCCACUCCUGUAGGCCAGGUCUCUGGACUGAAUGUCGAGUCCACUUUGUUCAGCUGUUGCAAAGUAAAUGGUGACAUUUUCUUUUAAAUAGGGUUUCUCUGAAAACUAACUGAUAUACUAACUAAUACAACAUUGUAUUUCAGCCCCUCACUCAGAUUUUGUGAACCUUUUACCAAAGACGCAAAGCAGAACCAAAACUGCUCCUGUGUCAGUUCAGAGCUGUUCACACCACUUGUGGAGAACAUUUGGCAUCCAGUCUGUUGGAAAUGCUGCAGACGCUCACAUCUACACACAUCCAGCCUGUUCUUAAUGAUCACAUUUGUUGUUGAUGUUGUUGAUUGUACAUGCAACUAACACUUUUUUAUUUUAUUUUUAUAAAUUCUACUUGAUUUGAACUAUUA